UACGGGGGGAGCAAGCGUUGUUCGGAUUUACUGGGCGUAAAGGGCGCGUAGGCGGCCACCGCAAGUCGAUUGUGAAAUCUCCGGGCUUAACCCGGAAAGGUCAACCGAUACUGCGGGGCUAGAGUGCGGAAGGGGCAACUGGAAUUCUUGGUGUAGCGGUGAAAUGCGUAGAUAUCAAGAGGAACACCUGCGGCGAAGGCGGGUUGCUGGGCCGACACUGACGCUGAGGCGCGAAAGCCAGGGGAGCGAACGGG
rnacentral:rRNA from 1 species